GAAGGAUGUGCUGGACUGCAACCCUUGCUUGUGACAAAGAGGUUCUUAUCCUGUUGUCCUGUAACUGUACCUCAGACUGAGGUGCAGACAGAAGAGGGGUUUUCAGCUGAAGCACUGAUGACAUUUGAAUAAGAUGCUUGUAUGAAACCUCUGAAGUUUUCAUAUCAGAAAAAGAUCAUCACUGAAAACACCCUAAGGGAAGGAAAAGGAUCAUUGGUCAAUGGUAGUGCUGUAAAGCACAAUACCAGUGAAAAAUCAGGAGAGAAAAUACUGACAACUUAAUAAGCUUCAGAACAAGCUAUGAAGAGUUAGUAGCACAGACUGCACAAGAUCUAUCAGGAAUAGCACCUAAGUUGCUCUGUUUGAGCUCUUCUACUAC
rnacentral:lncRNA from 1 species